rnacentral:rRNA from 1 species
CAGUCGCCGCGGGAACACGUAAGGUGCGAGCGUUGUUCGGAAUUAUUGGGCGUAAAGGGCAUGUAGGCGGAAAUGCAAGCUUGAUGUGAAAUACUGCAGCUUAACUGCGGAACAGCAUUGAGAACUGCGUAUCUUGAAUUACUGAAGGGUAACCGGAAUUCCACGUGUAGGGGUGAAAUCUGUAGAUAUGUGGAAGAACACCAAUGGCGAAGGCAGGUUACCGGCAGAUAAUUGACGCUGAGGUGCGAAAGUGCGGGGAGCGAACAGGAUUAGAUACCCCCGUAGUCCCUGUCUCUUAUAC